rnacentral:rRNA from 1 species
AUUGAACGCUGGCGGCAGGCUUAACACAUGCAAGUCGAGCGGGGGGAGGUAGCUUGCUACCUAACCUAGCGGCGGACGGGUGAGUAAUGCUUAGGAAUCUGCCUAUUAGUGGGGGACAACAUUUCGAAAGGGAUGCUAAUACCGCAUACGCCCUAAGGGGGAAAGCAGGGGAUCUUCGGACCUUGCGCUAAUAGAUGAGCCUAAGUCGGAUUAGCUAGUUGGUGGGGUAAAGGCCUACCAAGGCGACGAUCUGUAGCGGGUCUGAGAGGAUGCUCCGCCACACUGGGACUAGGACACUGCCCAGACUCCUACGGGAGGUAGCAGUGGGGAAUAUUGGACAAUGGGGGGAACCCUGAUCCAGCCAUGCCGCGUGUGUGAAGAAGGCCUUUUGGUUGUAAAGCACUUUAAGCGAGGAGGAGGCUACCGAGAUUAAUACUCUUGGAUAGUGGACGUUACUCGCAGAAUAAGCACCGGCUAACUCUGUGCCAGCCGCCGCCGUAAGAC